AUUGAACGCUGGCGGCAGGCCUAACACAUGCAAGUCGAACGAGUGGCGGACGGGUGAGUAAUGUCUGGGAAACUGCCCGAUGGAGGGGGAUAACUACUGGAAAAGGUAGCUAAUACCGCAUACCAUCGGAUGUGCCCAGAUGGGAUUAGCUUGUGGGUGAGGUAACGGCUCACAUAGGAGACGAUCCCUAGCUGGUCUGAGAGGAUGACCAGCCACACUGGACCGGAGACACGGUCCUGACGCCUACGGGGGGCAGCAGUGGGGAAGAUUGCAAAAUGGGCGCAAGGCUGAUGCAGCCAGGCCGCGGGUAUGAAGAAGGCCUUCGGGUUGUAAAGUACUUUCAGCGGGGAGGCGUUACCCGCAGAAGAAGCACCGGCUAACUCCGUGCCAGCAGCCGCGGUAAUGC
rnacentral:rRNA from 1 species